rnacentral:rRNA from 1 species
ACAUACGACCAUAGCCUGCGGAAAAUACGGGGUCCCGUCUGCUCCCCCCUAGUCAAGCCGCAGAGCGCUGGAUUAGUAGUACGGUGGGUGACCACGUGCGAAUACCCGGUGUUGUAUGUUUUC